GGGGAGGAGCAGAAGGGGAGCUGGCACUUAGGAUGUGUUGCUGGGGGUGGUUUUCUGGUUGAGAGGUUUUGCUUCUGCUUAGGUGCAGGAGUGUAGAAUAUGCUACCUGUUGUUAAAUUCCUUUUCCAACAGUGGAACUGCAGAAGAGGCUCUCCGUAAUAACCUGUGAUCAGGAUCCUAGGUAUGUGCUGGAUAGGCAACUGAAGAAGCCUGUCUUUCCACAAUUCAGACAGAGCACAUAAGCCUUCCUGGACAGCAUUCUUCUGCAGCAUCGUUCCCUUCCUGUGAUUGCAAAGACAGCUCUGCUCCAUCUUCCAUUGUCUUCUGCUUCCCAGCAUGGAGGGUUCAGCCAUCGCAUCUCCUACUGAUGGACAAAAGCAUGAAAGUAGAUCUGUUGGUGAAAGCUCCUGAGAGGUGCGGAGACGGGGAGGAAACGAGGCGCCAUCCCACUGAAAUCAGCAGGACUCUGUGGUGCUCUGAGGAAGGCAUACAUAUGCCUGGAUCAAGCUGAUAUUUACAGAAGGCUCCUUUUGAAUUGGCUUUUGAUUACACACCUAUGUUAGAAGGUGGACAGUGAGACUCAGUGUGACUUGUUUCCGUGAGAAAAAGAUGGUGAAAGAUUGCAAAGUUAACCUUUAAUAUAACAGACCUUUUUCAGCUGUCAUGUACAGUGCUAAACUGUAUAUUUCUGGUUGAAAGGGAACAUAAACUAUGAUCCAGAACACAAAAGGGUUUAGAAAAUGUAACCUUCAUGAAUAUGGUUUGGGUUUUAUUAUCUCACUUAUAUAUUCUGCUUGAUAGCUGUAGGAUAACAUGAACAGUGAGUUGGAAUCUUUCCUUGUUUCUACCAACAAAAAAAUCAAUCCAUUAAUAGGCCAAUAAAAUCCUGGGAUUUGGAGAGAGGGGAGGAGGAGAAAUAAUUGCAUUGUUCUGAUGCUAACAAGCCGCAUCUAUCUUAAAAUAACUGAUUAAAGCCUGUGCUGGCACGUGGCCUUUGCACAGGAAAGCUCAUUGCUUACAGGUGUGCUGUGCUGGGGCACAAAGAUGUUGUGUUGUGCUGCAUCUGUUGGGAUGGAAAAAGCCCAUAUCCUCCUGCUCAGCCCUUCCCUGCAGACACAAAGCCACAGGGAUGGGCUCACAGUGGGGCUGGCCAGGGCCAUGCAGAGGUUCCUGGGGCACUCUGCACUGCUGAUAAAUAGUUGCAGGGAUGCACAAUUGCAUAAUGAUAGCCACAUUCAUUCACCUGUCUAUCAAAAGAGAUGCAUUAAAGUUUGAGCUCUCUUCCCCUGGGUCCACAAAGAGACAUUUGAGUGUUAGUGUAUAGUCUUUAACAUACUUCCUAACAGUGGGCUAAGUGCAGUGGGGUUAAACAGAGUCCCUUUUGCUUAGUAAUCCAUUAGCUAAUGGGUGUGUAAGCCCAUCAAUUUUCUGUUUAUUCCCUAACCCCAUUAGGGUACACCUGCUGUGCAUAAAAAAUACACCUGACAAAUCAGAGUGAUAGCUGAAAUAAAAUAAAUAUCAAGUGUUGUUAUAGCUGAUCCAUAGUGUUUAAAGCAGAAAGGGCAUAACAGUGAUUUGUGAGGGCGGAAUGCAGCACAGCGCACUGGCAGCACGUGCAGGUUGACAUCCAUCCAUCCGUCCCCUCGUGAUCCCACUUCACCUGCAGGCUGUGGUGGCAGGCAGCCAUGUCCCCAUCCUCCAGGUCUCUCUGGGGAGCUGACAUUCACCUUCAGACACUGCUCCCAGCUCCUUCUGGAGAGCCCCAGUGCUGCUAAGUGAUAGAUUAAUUAUUUGCAGGGAGUGAGAGCACGAAGGCAGCCAGAAGCUUCAAAUCUGUCUCUGGUACCAGGGCCAUUUGUUUUGUCACU